AGGAUGGAAAGUGCUUUCUUUGCAAGUGGGCCAUUAUAACCAACCA
rnacentral:tRNA from 1 species